rnacentral:rRNA from 1 species
AGUGAACGCUGUCGGUAGGCCUAACACAUGCAAGUCUAACGGCAUCACAGUAAGACCUUGCUCUUCCGGGUGGCGAGUGGCGGACGGGCGCGGAAUACAUCGCACUCUACUUUUUAUUCGAGGAUAACGUAGGGCAACUUACGCUAAUACCUCAUACUACCUACGGCUGAAACCAGGGGAUCUUCGGACCUUGCGCGAUUGAAUGAGCCGAUGUCAGAUUAGCUAGUUGGCGGGGUAAAGGCCCACCAAGGCGACGAUCCGUAGCUGGUCUGAGAGGAUGAUCAGGCACACUGGAACUGAGACACGGUCCAGACUCCUACGGGAGGCAGCAGUGAGGAAUAUUGGACAAUGGGCGCAAGCCUGAUCCAGCCAUACGGCGUGGGUGAAGAAGGCCUUCGGGUUGUAAAGCACUUUUGUUGGGAAAGAAAAGCAGCAGGUUAACACCCCGCUGUGCUGACGGUACCCAAAGAAUAAGCACCGGCUAACUUCGUG